rnacentral:misc_RNA from 1 species
CGUACCUAUAGUAAUUAAAUUGCUAAUUAAAUCUAUACUUUUUAAUUUUUAUAAAUAAUAUCGUAUGACGUAACAUCUGACUUAGCGUCUCUAUUAAUAAAAUAACAGUUUUGUCAAUAGUAGGAUAAAAUCAAUGAGAGUAAAAAAGUUUAAAAUUUAAUUAAUAAUUUUUAUAAUAUGAGAUAGAAUUACAAAAAUUAAAAAAGUAUGAAAUUUAUUUGGUAAAUAUCACUUAAUUUUAUUGCCUACGUGGGAAUUCUAUUAUCUAGAUAACUUUGCCAGCUUUAAAAGGGGUCGGGAUAAGAAUUUAUGCAGUAGGUGAAGAACUGGUAAUUAUGUGGUACAAAGA